rnacentral:rRNA from 1 species
UACAGAGACCUCAAGCGUUAUCCGGAAUCAUUGGGCGUAAAGCGUACCGAUAGGUGGUUAUACAAGUCAGAAGUGAAAUCUCCGAGCUCAACUCGGAAUCUGUCUUUUGAAACUGUAUGACUAGAGGGGCAAAGAGGAAGCUGGAACGAACGGUGUAGUAGUAAAAUGCGUUGAUAUCGUUCGGAACACCAAUAGCGUAGGCAGGCUUCUGGGUGCCACCUGACACUGCUAGGACGAAAGCGUGGGGAGCGAAUGGG